AGUGAACGCUGGCGGUAGGCCUAACACAUGCAAGUCGAACGGCAGCACAGUAAGAGCUUGCUCUUACGGGUGGCGAGUGGCGGACGGGUGAGGAAUACAUCGGAAUCUACUUUUUCGUGGGGGAUAACGUAGGGAAACUUACGCUAAUACCGCAUACGACCUACGGGUGAAAGCAGGGGAUCUUCGGACCUUGCGCGAUUGAAUGAGCCGAUGUCGGAUUAGCUAGUUGGCGGGGUAAAGGCCCACCAAGCCGACGAUCCGUAGCUGGUCUGAGAGGAUGAUGAGCCACACUGGAACGGAGACACGGUCCAGACUCCUACGGGAGGCAGCAGUGGGGAAUAUUGGACAAAGGGCGCAAGCCUGAUCCAGCCAUACCGCGUGGGUGAAGAAGGCCUUCGGGUUGUAAAGCCCUUUUGUUGGGAAAGAAAAGCAGCAGGUUAAUACCCCGCUGUUCUGACGGUACCCAAAGAAUAAGCACCGGCUAACUUCGUG
rnacentral:rRNA from 1 species